AGGGGGUAGACUGUAAAUUUAAGUUUGGACAAAUGUUUAUUGAGGAACUGAAGAAAGGGAAUUUAGAGAAUGGAGAGGGACAACAUUCUUGUGGUAAGGAUUUAUAAAUUGUUACAAAAUCAUCUAGAAACUUCAGCUAAUCUAUUUACUUGUUUUAGCGAAGAUGGGGUAAGUGCCGGACUAGGUAGGAAACAAUUGUAACCUGUUUUCUAAGAUGAAGAUUGCAACUAUGUAUGCUAAAUUGAUUAUUUUACCAGUGUUGGAGUUAAUGAGACUUAAGUAGUUGAUGUUUGCAUAAUCCACAGCAAAUUGAUAAAUUUAGUUCAUAAUUUUUGCUUCCAGUGUAAAUUUAAUGCAUAUCAAGUGUUGCAUUGCUUUAUGACAAGAUUUCUCCUACAUUUUCCUCUGUUUUUUCAAUUUAUGUAUGAUGUAGUAAACUUUUUCAUAAUUUACUAAUCAAAAGGAAACUUUUUGUAAUUAAAUUAGGACCGAGGACAAGCAAUUCUCAUUAAAACUAUAGUACUUCCGAGAGCAGAGAUCAAUUUCUUGCUUGUUUUUCAAUUUUUGCUUAAAGGAUUUGUAGCUUAAAUCUUUCAUCAGUUGUGCUAUUUAUACAAUUGAGGUUAACAGCCCCCGGUUGACAAUUAGACACAUGAGAGGAGGGCCCAUGCUGAAUAAAAAAAUCAUGAGUUUCUCCUCUUGUGAAUACAUUGUCAACCGGGGUUGUCAAUCCUAAUUGUACAAGAGGAAUAAUUCAUCUUUCAUUUAUGCAUAGGUGUAAAGAAAGAUCAUAGUGGUGUGUUGACAGUGUUGUUUGGAUGGUAAAUGUUCUUUGACUUUUAUGAUAACGGGUUUCUUUGGUUGUGCUGGUGGUGAGGAGUAUGCUUCUGGGGAGGCUUUGCUACGAUUGUAUCCGUUUGGUAACCCAACUACUAAUUGUUCUACGUUUAGAAUUCGUUUCCCUUUUGCUUGUGUGUUUGAAGAAGAAUGGAAAAGAUAUGAUUAUUUGGUCUAAAAUUUUGUCUAAUGCGGCUUGCUACUCAUUUAAUUGAUGUCUAAUAUAGCUUUUUGAUUGUUCAACAGAUGUCCAAUGUAGCCUCUUCAAAGAUUGUGCUUUACAUUUAACUUAUGGGAUCUGGUUUUUGAUUAUGUGUUUGCUUUCUUAAAUUUUUUCAUGACAGGAAAUGCACCAAGCUCAAUAAACCAAAUGACAGUUACACAAAUGGAAGGUGAUCAGUUAAAUAAUUUACAUUUGUUACUCCUACAUUGCUUUUAUCAUUAUCCUUCAACUGGAAUACUAAAUUGUAUUUCUAUUCAUUAUAGACAUUAAUUAUCUAUUUCUGUAGUGGGAUGUUUGUUUUAAUUGGAAAUCAUGUCCCAAAUUCAAGUCCUCUUAUAAUGACUUAACAGAGUGAUGCAGUUUUUUUCAGUUCGAACUUCAAAAUUAAGGAACUGUAGGCGUAUAAUUACAAUUUCUUGUGACAUUUCUAUUAUCUCUUCUAAUUGAUCACACUAUUUGAAUAUGGUGGAUUGAUUCUUGGAAAAAUACAUGAAGCACUUAAAAGACAUAUUGUGCCUGAGAAGUGGAUACGAAUAAAUCAUUGAUCAUAGAUGACAGAUGAGAGGAUGAAUACAGCUCGUCAUAUCUUUUGUUGCUAAAAUGUUUCGAAGUAGAAAAGGAGAAAUAGAAAAAUACCCCUUCAUUAUUCCCCAUUUCAUAUUUAUUGCAAAUAAGUUAAAUUCUAGUUGUAUAUGGAGGGUCUAUGUAAACGUGUCGACUUAUAUUUUUAUAUGAACUAAUCUGGUUUGUAUCUAUUUCACAUUUGUUUAAACAUUGAUAUUUUUAUAAUAACUAACUUGGUUUAGGCUACAUAUUAAAAGUAGCAUAAUGUACUUUUUUGUUUCAUGUAAGUCGUUGUUCAAUAGGUUUUGUCCAUUUAAGUGUUAUUUAUCAUAUUUCCUUAAAUGAGUACUGAAUAACAUUUGCUUAUAGUUAAAAGUGGGAUCCAUGAAAGAGUAAUAAUUAAAAACCUCUUCUUUACUUUUUGUGGAAUUAAUUAGUAGCAUUGUUCAAAGGAAAUACAGCUGCAAAAAAAUUAAUGUACUUGCUUCUUUGGUCUCCGUACAUGCAUAAAUUUAUAUUUUACGUUCUUAGGCUUGCCAUUUGAUUAAUUGCUCAAUUUCUUUAAUGCCUUAAAAACAGUUCCGUCAAUGAGGAAGAAGUGCCUGUGAUUGAUGUUAUAUAGUUCGGGUACUUUAAGGUUUUGGUUACUGGAGUUUUACCGGAAAAUUAGUUGGUGGUUGUUAAGGCUAAGCUUGUGUGGAAGAUUGUUGAGAAGAAAAUUAUGGGGGACGAUGGUGCUGUUUUACUAAUUAUUGAGUUUGUUGUUUUUUUUUAUUUUUUUAAAUGUAUUAGAUUUUUAGGUGCUUUAAAAUUUGGGAUUUGAAUUUUGUACAGAUAUUGUUACAUUUUGGGGU
rnacentral:lncRNA from 1 species